rfam:Gossypium raimondii Chr06_contig_58, whole genome shotgun sequence.
UGUUAAAAAUUUUAUCCAUUUUUACUAUUAAAACUCGACAUGGUUGACAGAAUAACUAAACAAAGACACGUGGCAUGCCACAGUACCUCAUCUUGACCUAUAGGGACUAAUUUUUAACAAUAGAAAUGGAUGAAAUUUUUAACA